GUUCUCGGUGGCUCAGUCGGAUAGAGCGUCUGCCAUGUAAGCAGGAUGUCCCGGGUUCGAGUCCCGGUCGGAGCA
rnacentral:tRNA from 1 species